rnacentral:rRNA from 1 species
GUGGGGAAUCUUGGACAAUGGGGGCAACCCUGAUCCAGCGACGCCGCGUGGGUGACGAAGGCCUUCGGGUUGUAAAGCCCUUUUCCUGGGGACGAUGAUGACGGUACCCAGGGAAUAAGCACCGGCUAACUCCGUGCCAGCAGCCGCGGUAAGACGGAGGGUGCUAGCGUUGUUCGGAAUUACUGGGCGUAAAGGGCGCGUAGGCGGCCCUGUCAGUCGGGUGUGAAAGCCCGGGGCUCAACCCCGGAACGGCACCCGAGACGGCGGGGCUGGAGACCGGGAGAGGAGGGUGGAAUAGCCAGUGUAGAGGUGAAAUUCGUAGAUAUUGGCUGGAACACCGGUGGCGAAAGCGGCUCUCUGGCCCGGUUCUGACGCUGAGGCGCGAAAGCGUGGGGAGCAAACAGGAUUAGAAACCCCAGUAGUCC